rnacentral:tRNA from 1 species
GUCCGAGUGUUGAAACAGGCAGACAAAACAGGCUUAAACCCUGUUGGCGGCAACGUCGUGCGGGUUCAAUCCCCGCCUCGGAUA